AGACCUGGAGGUAAAUUCUGAAAUCAUCAAAUGGCCUAGGACUUUUAUGUAGCUAAUGCUGAUGAUUUGAUGUGUAUCUUGGGCACUAAUAGAUGAGAUUUUGUUCAUGGAAUGUAGCUUUUCAUGUGGAGAUACCAUCUCAAAUUUUCUAUAAGAUAGC